rnacentral:lncRNA from 1 species
CAGUAUCAGUAAAGUCCAAAAGGUAAAAUUACCACUAUUGUGAAAAAAUCCUUUUAUUAACAUGUUUCUUAUGAAAUUUAUUUGUCAUUAGUUCAAACUAAGAUUAGAAUAACAAAAUUUAGGAAGUAAAUUGUAUUUGCCAACAUAGAGAUUAGACGAACAGAAAUUCACCUCUCCUUUUAGAAUUAUUACUAGGAACAAAAUCUUAGACUUAUGCCGCUAGGUUCCAAAAAAACAUGUUAUGGACAAAUAAGUAAAUCCAGAAAAAAUAGUGAAAGGAUUCAGCUUGUUUUCCAGCUGGAGGAGUGAGUGUGUAAAACAGAAGGAUUGCAAAUUCCUACAUAGCAUGGAAAAUAUAAACAUGAAGAGCUAAGUUCACCGUCCUGUCAACACACAGAACAGUUUUUUAAAGAAGGACUCAUAAAAUUCUAGAAAUCAAUAAGCAAGACUGUGAUAUAAUUUUUGAUUUAGCACCUUCUGAGCUGAAAAUUUCUGAAGGCUGGAAAAAUAAAAUAGAGAAAUGUGAAUAUGUGUUUGCCCUAUUCUUUUGUACUCUUUUAGGUAAAUGCUAUAGGCCACCAAUGCUACAGGUAAAUGCAAAAUGCAACAGACAAUGUAUAGGUUGUGUGUGUCCUGCUCUUAUCAGGGUCACUGCUAAGCACUGAAAUUCCACAGCUAAAAAUAGGACCAAAGUUAAACUGAAGAAAAUAUAAGCCAAAAAUAGCUGUAGGAGUUUCAUGGGAUAUUCAAUUCCAAGUCCUAUUUCUAAGAGCACAUGGAUACAGAUGAUCAGCUGCCUAUAGAUCUUGUAGUCAAGGGAUUUGUAUUUUAAUUAGAAGAAAUAGUCAAUAGGGUAACCAAGGUAUGCUAGAGAUCAUUCUUAACCCUUUGUUUAAAAUACAAGUGUUUCAGAAGUUUCUUGUGAUGAAUUUGACCAAAAAAAAAAAAAAAAAAAAGGCAUAUUCUCACAAAGAAUGAAGCAGCUGUGAUGGGUGACCAGCAGACACAGCAGACACAGCAGUCCAAAGCUGUCCAGCCCACUCUAA